GAUCGGGCGGUCCACGGCUGGGCACGUGGACCGCAGAAAUAUUUUUCAGCCAUUUCUCAUGGUUCACGGCACUAUACCAUAGACCAACGUGCGAUCGGAUGGUCCAAGAGACUUGCAAUGUUGAUCUAAUGGCUUGGGGCCUUAACUGAGUUUGAUUAGGAGUUCUAAACCUAAUCUAAUUAAGGUUUAGACCUUAUAAAAGGCCC
rnacentral:lncRNA from 1 species